AGUGAACGCUGGCGGUAGGCCUAACACAUGCAAGUCGAACGGCAGCACAGUAAGAGCUUGCUCUUACGGGUGGCGAGUGGCGGACGGGUGAGGAAUACAUCGGAAUCUACUUUUUCGUGGGGGAUAACGUAGGGAAACUUACGCUAAUACCGCAUACGACCUACGGGUGAAAGCAGGGGAUCUUCGGACCUUGCGCGAUUGAAUGAGCCGAUGUCGGAUUAGCUAGUUGGCGGGGUAAAGGCCCACCAAGGCGACGAUCCGUAGCUGGUCUGAGAGGAUGAUCAGCCACACUGGAACUGAGACACGGUCCAGACUCCUGCGGGAGGCAGCAGUGGGGAAUAUUGGACAAUGGGCGCAAGCCUGAUCCAGCCAUACCGCGUGGGUGAAGAAGGCCUUCGGGUUGUAAAGCCCUUUUGUUGGGAAAGAAAAGCAGCAGGUUAAUACCCCGCUGUUCUGACGGUACCCAAAGAAUAAGCACCGGCUAACCUCGUG
rnacentral:rRNA from 1 species